rnacentral:rRNA from 1 species
ACCCCUCGGGGGACCGAGGAACGCGCUCUGCAAGGAUGCGGGCGUAAUGGUCGUCAACGACCCGUCUUGAAACACGGACCAAGGAGUCGAACAUUUGUGCGAGUGUUUGGGUGUCAAACCCUCACGCGUAAUGAAAGUGAACGGAGGUGAGAGCCCUUACGGGUGCAUCAUCGACCGAUCCUGAUGUCUUCGGAUGGAUUUGAGUAAGAGCAUAACUGUUCGGACCCGAAAGAUGGUGAACUAUGCGUGGAUAGGGUGAAGCCAGAGGAAACUCUGGUGGAGGCUCGCAGCGGUUCUGACGUGCAAAUCGAUCGUCAAAUCUGCGCAUGGGGGCGAAAGAC